GCAAACCUAUAAACUACCGUGAAUCCAAAAAUGAAUGUCUGAGAUUUGUCUAUGUCACCCUCAGUAAAACUUUUACUCAUGGUUAAACUUGGGAGUAAAAUUUUACUUAAGAUGAUGUGGACAAAUCUUAGACAUUCAUUUUUAAUUAUAUAUAUGGUAGUUUUCAGGUUUGC
rnacentral:pre_miRNA from 1 species